AGGGGUAUAGCUCAGUUGGUAGAGCGGCGGUCUCCAAAACCGCAGGUCGCAGGUUCGAGCCCUGCUGCCCCUG
rfam:Aureimonas sp. AT20, complete genome.